rnacentral:lncRNA from 1 species
GUCAAAUAUAUACAAAAUGUAUCCAACUAGCAAAUGUUUUGAUACCCUAAUCUUAUGAGAAACACAUACAACGCAACUAAAUUCCUGUUUGGACGAGAACUCAAUCAAGCCAGUCUUCACUCUUGAAUUUGUAAACAUCAUGCUGAGUUAUUGAUGAUUGGAAUUUAGAUUUUCUUUGUAUUGUAGCUUCUGAAAUAUUUUGUGGUUUAUUUUGGCAGCAACGCUAUAAUACUUCCGUGUUGACGUGGUCUGAAAUUUUCAGAAUAUCGAAACGGUGAUGAUGUUUUAUACUAAGUCGAAGUACUGUAGUGCUGGAAUAGUUUAGCAACCCUCGAUAUAAGCAAGACAAAGGUAAGAGUGGUAAAUUGAACACUAUAUUCGUACUAAACUUGCCCUGUUGUUUUCAAGGUAUAUUUAAAUAACAUAAUAAUUCUGAGAUGCACAUAUGGUGGGUUAUGAUGUUGCUAUGCUAUAUGCAUGCUUUUAUCUAAUACCAUAUAUACUAUAUCACGUCCAUUAUUUUUCUCAAUACAAAUGGCCUUACUUUGGCCUGCUUUGGUUGUUAGUAUAUAUUGAAGAUAUCAGGUUUCCCGCUUUAUGUGCAUGCGAGUAAUAUAUAAGCUAUCACAUACUUAACCAAUUUACAGCUUAUGAAACCAUUACGUCACCAUAUUUUUCAUAUAUGCCUGUACACUAUAGUGUAAGAGUAUAUAUGCACAGGUUAGGUAAAGCCGGUUCAUUCAAAAUAGUUCAAUUGGUAGGGCCCAAUUCGGAUCGCUGAAUAUGCAUGUCAAAAUCUCGCCUACGUUUACCACAGUAGAGACAUUAUACUGUAAGUCCUGUAAGAUUGAACCGUCUUUGCCAGUGUAUAGGUAGUGCCAAUCAAAUGAACAAACAUUCGUUGGUAGAGAUGCAACUACCUGAAAAUAUAUAAGGAGAAUCUCGAUGUUUCGUUUCCUAGUUACGAUCAGGCCUUCGCUCGAAACGUCGAAAUUCUCCUUAUAUUUUUCGGGUAGUUGCAUCCAACGAAACAUUACUGGUAUGAGAUUGACGUUCACGGUACUGUCUACUGAGAACUGCAAAAUCGUGUUUCGAGUUGAACAAUUAGCUGUACAAAGUUAUUAAGGUCAUUUGUACAUUAAAAUUGAAGUAUGAGUUACCUAACUUAGCUUUCGCACAGUUGUAGAACUUACCUUCAAAUGCAAUUUGAGUCUUUGCCCUAAUGCUUUCCCAACACCAUCAUGUGUUUUAUUUACUCUAAGUUGAAACGUCGUUGGAACAUUUACUGAAUUAACGCUAAACUCUGGAAAUUUCUCCUUGAUUUAUUCGUGUUUUUUCCUUUUCAUGCAGAGAUUUUUGAAAGAUGUAUGCCCUGUUCUUUCUGUUUGUUAUUGGACUCACGCAUUUUGUACCAACUUUAGCACGUAAGUGGAUUCGACGUUAUUUCAUGUUCCCACUGGUCUAAUAUUUAUUCCCACUAUGAGUGGCGAAGCUAUAGCCAUAACAACAUGUCAUGCUCUGGAAAUUUUUAAUCAUUUGCAUUAACUUUUAGAAAUGUAGUAUCUUUAAGCUUAUACAGUACGUACAGUAGAUGGUGGUUUAUUAGCAUAGCAUAACCGGUUGCCAUGGCAAACUUCGCCGCUGACGACUAACUGACAUUUAUACUCCCAUUGCUACCCAAUUCACAUUUUUAAAUAACUUGCAUGCCUACACACGUACAAACGCACAAGUUGUAACAAACCUGCAGCAGACUUGUAGCAAUGCGGUUCCAACAACUUGUCAACAGGAUGUGUUCGCACUGCUUGUUCCCAGCUUGUUGACAACUUGCUACAAGAUUGUUGAGCUUAACAGACUUGUUACAAGUUGUUCCAACAAUUUGUUAUCGUCCUGCAAUUCAACAAUUUGUUAACAAGUUGUGAGUGACAACCUUGUAGCAACCUGAUGAAAUAACAACAUUGUUACAACUUAUUUACAAGCUUGUUACAAGCUUGUUGUGAACACACCUUGUUGACAAGUUGUGAGAUUUUUACAUGCUGCCACUGUAUUCGUGUUUUCGUGCUGAGGAAAGAUAUUUUUAUAAUUCAUCACUUAAUCACCUUUUAUUGUUUUUCUAGAAAAUGCGACGAUCAACAAUGGUAAACGGCAGUAUACUAUACCAGAUGGUGGACGCAUAGAAAUACAAUGUCUGCCGAACAAUACUAAUACUACCACAACAUGGAAAAUUUUUGGAAAAACUCUUGGAGAACCAAUAAACGACGAUCUUUCGAAUUUCAAUAUUUCUGAGAAUUCAAGUUUGAUUGUGACAAAUUCUAGAAACAGUUCGCUUCAAGGAUUAGUAAACGUCACUUGUAUUGCAAGUAGCAACAAUACCAACUUCAGCAGAAUAAUUGAAAUUGUCUUCUUUAAAG